GGUCAUGUGGGAUAUUCAUUGGAAAGGAAACUACUCACUGAAGUGAAAUUUAAAACAGACUUCUGCCAAAACUCAUAUUCUUAACCAGUAAGUAGCUAUACCAUUUAAAGAAUUUAAUAACAAUGAAAAAAAUUCCACCUUGUAUUUUGUAUUAUUUUAUUCAUCUUCAAAUUUUGUUGCUCAGGUUAAUUCAGCCCAACCCAAGAAGAGUUUUUUUCUGAUCAGAAGAUGCUUUGAUUUAAAUGUAAUUUGUUAAUUUGAAUAAUAAAAAAUAGCAACUGUUUGCCUUAAAAAAAUAAAAUAAAACAGACUUCUGUUAUCUAACUAGGUUCAGUGAUACAUGUCUAUAAUUUCAUCUCCUUGGGGUACAGUGCCAUUAUAUGAUCAAAGUUGGCUUCAACAAUUUAGCAAGAUUUGCCUCAAAAUAAAAAAAGAGAGAAAUUUAAAUGUGCUGGGCAGGUAGCCAAGUUGUAAAGCACCUCUGAGUUCAAUCCUCAAAAACAAAACAAAACAAUACAACUUACUUUUGCUUUUCCCUCUACAGAAAGGUAGAAACUCAGAUGUCUUCCAGUCAUUACCAGGAUUUUAUCCCAGAGUCACAAAGACCUAAUAUUUCCCUAAGAUGGCAUCCAUUGACCCGAAGUCAUUUACCCAAGGGACUGUGUUGAGUAUUCAUAACAUCUGCUAUCCAGUAAAAGAGAAGAGUGGCUUUCUACUCUGCCGGAGAACAUUUGAGAGAGAAGUAUUAACAAAUAUCAAGUAUGUGCAUGAACUUUUCAAAAUCCUGCUUUAUUGAAUGAACUUUACAGAUUUUACCUAUCACCAAUGAGCUGCUGUGAACAUUUGUGUUCAAUUCCUUGUAAAGAUGUAUUAACCUAUUCUUUCAUUUCUUUCUGCUAAACUUAGACUAAAAUGAUUGGAUCACUUAAGUUUAUGUAUAUCUUUGGAAGUGACUGGCAAAUUGUACUAUGGGAUUGAUCAAUUGUUGUAUCAAUUAGUUUCUGAAGUACAAAAUAAAUGAGGAGAAAGAAUUCCUGUAGAAGCUACUUACUACCAUUAUCAUUUAGAGAACUUUGUAACUUAGCAAAACAACUUACUUCAACAAUAUAAGACAACAAUCAUAAUUAAUACCAUUAUACUUUAUAACAAAUCAAGAUUUGAAUAAAUAUUAACUUCUU
rnacentral:lncRNA from 1 species